AGUGAACGCUGGCGGUAGGCCUAACACAUGCAAGUCGAACGGCAGCACAGUAAGAGCUUGCUCUUACGGGUGGCGAGUGGCGGACGGGUGAGGAAUACAUCGGAAUCUACUUUUUCGUGGGGGAUAACGUAGGGAAACUUACGCUAAUACCGCAUACGACCUACGGGUGAAAGCAGGGGAUCUUCGGACCUUGCGCGAUUGAAUGAGCCGAUGUCGGAUUAGCUAGUUGGCGGGGUAAAGGCCCACCAAGGCGACGAUCCGUAGCUGGUCUGAGAGGAUGAUCAGACACACUGGAACUGAGACACGGUCCAGACUCCUACGGGAGGCAGCAGUGGGGAAUAUUGGACAAUGGGCGCAAGCCUGAUCCAGCCAUACCGCGUGGGUGAAGAAGGCCUUCGGGUUGUAAAGCCCUUUUGUUGGGAAAGAAAAGCAGCAGGUUAAUACCCCGCCGUUCUGACGGUACCCAAAGAAUAAGCACCGGCUAACUUCGUG
rnacentral:rRNA from 1 species